UCGGAUUCAACUGAUUUUGUUUAUUUAUAGAAACUUAAAAUAUCAAAACAAAAGAAUCAAAUCAACUUUGAUUCGUAUAUUCCACAGAUUUCGCUUUUUAUAAAAAUCCUAUAUUCAUCUUUCAAAUACGAUCUUAACAACCAAACCUACUCUAUGCUCUACUAUAUAUAUGACGCUUUGAAAAGAAAACCAAAUCACUCUCACAAUCAAAAAUACCACGACUCAUUGAAAUGGCAGCGUCAUUUGCUUUCCUCAAGGAUGUUAGGCCAUACAAAACGGCGUGGCGAGUUCAGGUUAAGAUGCUACAUUCAUGGCGUCACUACACCCAAAAAACAGGGGAAACAUUAGAGAUGGUACUCUCUGAUGAAUUGGUAAGGAAGUUACUAAUUUCUAAUAAAUCAUGCUUCCAUGUUGCAUCGGUCGUCUCUGUCAUUUUAAUAAUACUUACUGCAUUUAUAGGGUAAGAAGAUACACGCUAGCGUGAGGAAGGAUUUGGUGAACCUUUAUGUGAACAGGCUGCACAUUGAUGACUGGGUUUUCAUUGAAAACUUCGGUCUUAACUAUGCCACCGGCCAAUACAGACCAACCAGCCAUCUCUAUAAGAUGGCUUUCAUCCCUGGGACUGUAGUCAUGCAUUGUGACCCCAAAUCAGAUUCUUCCUUUCUGUCGUUGGCAAAGUAUCAGAAGAUACAAAGUGGAGAACUGAAUCCACAUAUGUUGGUUGGUAAGUUUCUAUUUAUAUGUCACUACUUUUAUAUAGUCUCUUAGUUAAACAUUAACAAACGAUGUUUAACCCACAAGUUUACCUCUUCCAUGAUGCAGAUGUAAUUGGCCAGAUAAUAACUAUUGGAGAACUUGAGAACCUCGAGGCUAACAACAAACCAACCUGCAAAAUCGAUUUCGAAAUAAGAGACGAAAAGUGAGCAUUAUUUAUAUAUUUACAUACUCUUUAUAUUCUAACAAUAUAUUAUUAUGCUCCGACUUUGUAUCUUCAAAGUUUGCAUUAUUAUUGAUGAUAACAGUGAUGAAAGGAUGGCGUGUACUUUGUGGGGAACCUUAGCUGAGCAGGUACAUAGAGCUUGCGAAAAUUCAGAUGGAAGCAAUGUCAUAGUCAUCCUCAGAUUUAUGAAAAUUAAAGCUUACAAGGGUAACUUGAUGUUUAACCUAAAUACUACUCACAAGAUCGGCUACUCUUUAUGCUAUAACGUUUACAUAACCAAUUAAUAUUGUAGGUGUUAGGAGUGUAACAAAUUCCUAUGAUACUUCACAAGUGUUUGUCAACUCCCCCUUCCCUGAAGUCGACUCAUUCAGAGAAUCGUAUACUUUCUAAACUUAUCUACUAUAUUUAUCAUCCCCUUAUAACUCUGCAAUUUACAAUGUUUAACCGCAAAAAAUUAACCAUACUAACUUAACAUCAAUUAGGCUGCCUACAGAUGGUUUGGUAUUGGUCCCCCGAGAAAGGCGUCCAAGAAUGGAGUUGGUUGUGGUAAACAAUGAGGAUUACCAAGAUGUCCCCAGGAGAACUAUUGAGGAAAUCAAGAAUUCCCUAGAGGUAAAAUAAUAUUAACUUUAACUCUUUCUGUAAUAGUUCGUAUAUAUUUGAUAACUUCAUUAAUUCACAGGUUGGCAGGGCUAGACUACUCUGUACAAUCUAUGGAAUUGAUACAGACUGGGCUUGGUACUACAUAAGUUGUAGGUCAUGCAAUAAGAAAGUUAACCACAUCCAUUCUGGUGUACAUGGAGUUAAUAACAAAGGCGUCAAACCAAGAUUCUGGUGUGAUACCUGCAAGAGUGUUGUUACAAAUGUCGUAGCACGGUAUAUUUGUCUAUAUGUCUACUAUUAUUAACAUAUCAUACUAGAUUUUUAGGGACAUGUUUAUUCCAGAACAAAAUUUUAAUUCAAUAAUCUACAUGUUUAUGUGCUAGGUUUAUGCUUUAUGCUAAUGUCAUGGACACCACUGGGGAGCUGAAAUUGUUAUUGUUUGACUCUAUUUGCACGGAGAUAAUAGGGCAGUCUGCUCCAUCUGUUCUUGACGGCUCUGUUGAUGAGGUUAACUACUACCAGCUAUAUUACGCUAAAAGUCAUAGAUACGUGGUAUUAUCUCUAAUGUGUUACAAAUCAAUUCUGAUAUUUUUAAUGUUCAGAUUGAGGAUCCAGACAAUUUGCCAGAUCCCCUUAAAAAUCUUAUUGGGAAAACUUUUCUGUUUCUGGUGUGUAUCGAGAGGGCAAAUAUAUGGGAUGGGAAAGAUAUCUACAGGGUUUCUAAGGCUCUGUUGAAGCAUGGUGUACUACCAGAAGAGUUAUUGGAGUAUUCUACAGAAAUGUCCAGAGAAACUUCCAUUGAAUCUGCAGACAAGGUUAUAUUCAUAUAACUAUUCACUACAACAACUAUAUCUUCAAUGUUAAUUUAUUAAAAUAACCAAUGUUUAGUUAUACAUUCUAUUUAUACUAAUUAUGAAAUUCGUAGGGCAUUCUCAUGUUGGAAAAUACUCAAGGAACACCAGAUUCUAUGACUCCUUCUUCUAAGCGUGUUUAUGGUUCUAAGGACGGACCUGUGGACCAAGCAUCUACUUCUAAGAAGUCGUGUAUUGAACCAAUAGACUUGGAAAAGGUAAAUCCUGAUUUUAAAAAUGAAGCAGAACUGAACAAGAGCAGUGUUGAAUCAAAGACUGAAGGUGUGAUUGAGACAAAAGCGGACCUUGGUAAAAAUGUGGGCGAAACAAUCGGAACCACUAUUGACAAAGCAGACAAUGCUGGACCAAGAGCUAUGGUUGGAGUGAAGGUCAAGAUUGAGAAGAAGUAAGGGUCCUGCAGUCACUAUUGUAUGCUUCAAAUAAAGCCUUCCUUGGUUAUUUCAAUCUGUUUUUUAAACUUUCAAACUCAUUUUCAUUUCCUUUGUUUGAAUAAGUGUAGUUUAGCUACACUCCUAUUUUAUGUUCAAGUUUAUUAAUAAAGUUUCCAUAUUCUUAUUUUCUGUUGACUUCAAUAAUAUAUUACUAGAGAUGUAUUAAGCUUCUAAGCACUUCUUAUAUUUUGAAAGUGGUUAACGUGUCUAAAUGUAUAAUCACCCAAAAAAAGAUAUUUAAACAUUAAAGGAAACCAUGAUUUUUACCUUUUUACUCGAUGUCUAUAGCCUAUAUCUUCAUUGUAAUCCUUCUUCUUCGAAUCUGAAAUUUAAAGAGAAAAAUACUAAAUUACAUAUGCAACAUUAAUUUAAAUCAGCUCACUCUAGGUACGUGUUUUCUGCUUCUUUCCUCAUAUUUUAAAAAAUGCAGAACUUAUGGAUUUCAUGAUUUUAAAAGGCACAAAGUAGUAAGCAUGUAAUUUGACAAACAGAUUCCAUAUUAACUUUGCCAAACAGACAAUACCUUCAAACACUAGCAUCGUAUGCUGCUAGACACAACCACCACAUAACAACAUUCCUGCAUACUAAUUGAAAGCAAAAUCCCGUAAGCAUUUAUAUAAGAUAUAUUAUUUUGAUUUGUAUUGCCUGAGAAUCCCUUAAAACCAGCACUUUGUUAUAUAAUUAUAUGGAUAUUUUAAAGAAAACAAAGAAGAAUAUUGUCUCUGCUAUCUAAAAUCAAGGAGAAAUUAACUACUGCAAAUCUAUAGUCAUUACGACCUGCUACUAAAAUAACAUGUUCUAGAGAGCAACUUUCUGACCACCUCAACGAUGAAGGAAAAUAAGAAAAACAAUAAACCAAGUGAUGAGUCUCAGCACAAAUCUGCUAAAAGAACGAGACUUACACAACCUCCAACUAAUCAUACUCAACCAACAACAUCUACAUUGGCUACACCUACUGGUUCUGUCACACUUAAAAAUGCUUUGAAUAGAGUUCUUUGCGAUAUUACCAACCUAAGUGGGAGCAACAAUCGGCUGGAUGUCACACAAUCCUCUAUUCACCAUCCAUCUCCUGCAACACACAUCACACUAGGUUAUUGUUUUUUACAAUUUCACCUGACUUUUUCCUGUUCUCAUGUUAGUAUUGAUUAGUAUAUGAAACGCUUAUUUCAAACUGAAAACAAUCUUUUACUUCCCAGUUUCAGGCUCAAACUUAUCCACGUCUUCAUUCGACAAUCAUGGUAGCUUAAAUACCAACAAUUUUGUCACUCCUGUGCUUCAAAACAUAACCAAUAUAGAACACCAAGCUACUCCCGUUGAUACCAUAGCUACACUGUCUGCCAAAUACAACACACCUGUAUUGAAUGAAAGUGAGGGUGAGUUUUACUAAUUUGAGAAGUGGUAUUAAAACAAACUUCAUGCCCGCUCAAUAUAUAACAUACAGACAUGGUCAUUCAAUCUGCAGCAAAUCGGAGAGGCUUGGGGAGAUCGUGUCUUACCAAUGUCAAUACACGGGUAAACCUUAGCAAAGCUAACAAGUUGCCUAGGAAAAAUCUGUCUGAAGCUUUUGAAACUGCAUCUGUCUCUACUGAUUGCCAAGGUAAGAUUUUACUUGAUUCAUGCACUUCAAUUUUAAUACUAAUUAAGUACAAAUGUCUUAACAAUCAUGCUAAUUUUGUAAAACGUAUUGAAUAAAUAGGUCCAGGAUUAAGAGAUGACCUCAAUGACAGUAGCACAUAAUCUGAGGAAAGUUACAAAGAUAUUGACAACAAUAUAUUCAAUGAAAGUGAAUCAGAGGUCGAACAAGAUUACUAUCUUAGUCAAUCAGAAUAUGAAACUGAAGAUGACACGGCUGAAGUUAACAUUUCAGUUCAACCUGAAAUUGCAAUCAGAGGUUCUGAUACUGUCCAAGAGAAGGUUAUAACACAAGAAUGUAUUACAGCACAAGACCAUGUCAGAUUCAUGGCCUUACUUGGUAAAAUAGCGGACAAAACGACACACAAAGCUGCCAGCAAUGAAACUGCUCCACUUAAAAAAAAAAGAGGCAGACCAAGACUCAAUAAAAAUGCAACCACGGCUGCAAGCAACUCAAACCAAAAAGGUUUACAAAUUUUUAUCAUUAUGACAUACACGUGCUGGGUUAUACUAUAUAUAACCCAUCUAGAUAAAUUAGAUACUAAUUUUAACUUGAUUCCACAGCUUAUCUUGAUCAUGGAGAUGCUACAUACAAAUGUAAACAUUGUGGUGCUUUGAUGUGGUAUGAUGAGCGUAUUCGCAAGAGACGCAACCAGGAGGAGCCAACGUUCACACUAUGUUGUGGACAAGGACAAGUUAAAUUGCCCUUUCUUAAAGAGUCUCCAGAGUUAAUAAAGAAGCUUCUAAGUGGUGAUGAUGCUCUCAGCAAACAUUUUAGAGAUAAUUUGCGAAUCUUUAAUAUGAUUUUUGCAAUGACAUCACUAGGGGGGAAAGUUGACAAAUCUGUAGCAAAAGGCAAAGGACCUACAGCAUUUCGCUUGCAAGGAGGAAACUAUCACUUGAUUGGUAGUUUAAAGCCUGAAGCGGGAGAUUAUGCUAAAUAUUCUCAAUUCUAUAUUGUGGAUACUCAGAACGAAGUCGAUAAUCGAGCUACGGUCAUCAGGUAAUAAAGCUACUAUACCAUUUCGAUAUUUAACUCAAUAACAGAUUCUCAUGUAAUCUCACUAACUAAUCUGAUAAUUGUAUAAACUUUGUGUAGCAAGGGUAAAAAUGUUGCACCAACUUCAGCCAGAAAACAGCUAAAAAAGGAAGUCAUUGAAGCACUGAUAGAAAUGCUUAACGACCAUAAUCCUUAUGUCCAGACGUUCAGGUCCGCGAGAGAGAGGUUUGAAUCUAACAAUGAUGAACCUUUCCACAUGCGUAUUGUCGCAGAUCGCAAGGGUGUAGAUGGAAGGACAUAUAGUAUACCUACUUCAUCAGAAGUAGCUGCUUUAAUUCCAGGAGAUUUCAUCAAACAAAUGCCUGACCGUGACAUAGUUAUCCAAGAAAAGAGUACUGGUCAUUUACAGAGGAUAAGCCAAAUUCAUAUAUCUUACUUAGCACUACAAUAUCCUCUAAUUUUCUGCUAUGGUGAAGAUGGCUAUAGACCUGGGAUAGAAAAAUGCAAUAUUCCAGCAAAAACAAGGAAGAAUAAGAAGAAAUGCAUCAGCAUGAGACAAUGGUUUGCAUUCCGGUUACAAGAGAGGGAAAACGAGUGUCAUACACUUUUGCGUUCAAAGAGGUUGUUUCAGCAGUUUUUGUGUGAUGCUUACACCACAAUAGAAUCAAACCGGCUAUCGUACAUCAAAUUUAACCAGUCAAAGCUUCGGUGUGAGAAUUUUGACUCCAUCAAAAAAGCAGCUGAAUCAGGAACAACCUCAUUGGGUGAAGAAGGUAACCAAUUACUGAUUCCUACUUCUUUCACGGGUGGUCCUCGGUAUAUGGUUCAAAUUUACUAUGACGCAAUGGCAAUCUGUAAGCAUUACGGAUUCCCAGACCUAUUUAUCACAUUCACAUGUAACCCUAAAUGGCCAGAGAUAACGAGAUAUUGCCAAACCCGAGGGUUAACAGCUGAGGACAGACCAGAUAUUGUUGCUAGGAUAUUCAAGAUAAAGUUGGACUCUCUAAUGAGAGACCUGACAGAAAGGAAAAUGCUUGGGAAGGCAGUAGCAUGUACGUGAUCUCUUUUAUUUAAAUGUAAGCGUCUAAUAUUUCAACUAAUAAGACUAAUUUUCGGGUGGUUUUUCCAUAAAUGUUUUGCAGCUAUGUAUACCGUUGAAUUUCAGAAAAGAGGGUUACCACAUGCUCACAUUUUGCUCUUUAUGGAUGCUAAGAGUAAGCUCCCAACAGCAGACGACAUCGACAAGAUGAUUUCUGCUGAGAUUCCAGAUAAAGAAAAGGAACCAGAACUAUAUGAAGUUAUCAAAAACUCUAUGAUACACGGUCCAUGUGGUGCAGCAAAUCCUAAUUCUCCGUGUAUGGUUGAUGGAUCAUGCUCGAAGCAUUAUCCUAAAAAAUUCCAAGAGAUCACUAAGGUUGGAAGUGACGGUUACCCUAUCUAUAGAAGAAGGGAAACAGCUGAUUAUGUUGAGAAGGGUGGCUUUAAAUGUGACAACAGGUAUGUGGUUCCAUACAAUAAGAAGCUUUCACUCCGAUAUCAGGCUCAUAUCAACGUUGAAUGGUGCAAUCAGAAUGGGAGUAUAAAAUACUUAUUUAAGUAUAUAAACAAAGGACCAGAUCGUGUCACAUUUAUAGUUGAACCCGCUAAUCAGGCCACAAGUGAUUCAAGUGCAACUACAGGGCAGGAAUCAAGUCCAACUGAGAAAAAAAAGAACGAAAUUAAAGACUGGUUCGAUUGCAGGUAAUAAUCUUAAACUAUAGUCAUCAAAUCUUUUUGAUUGUGUGCGGAGUCUAAUGUGAAUAACUGGAAUUUGUUUGGCAAAUUUUUAGAUAUGUAUCAGCAUCAGAGGCAAUUUGGAGGAUUUUUAAGUUUCCUUUGCAACAUAGAUCUACACCAGUUCAGAGAUUAUCUUUUCAUCUCGAAGGGAAGCAACCUGCGUAUUUUGAUUCAGAAGCACAUAUUGACGAUGUCCUCGACCGUAUUGCCAACCAAGAUUCUAUGUUUAUGGCUUGGCNNNNNNNNNNNNNNNNNNNNNNNNNNNNNNNNNNNNNNNNNNNNNNNNNNNNNNNNNNNNNNNNNNNNNNNNNNNNNNNNNNNNNNNNNNNNNNNNNNNNNNNNNNNNNNNNNNNNNNNNNNNNNNNNNNNNNNNNNNNNNNNNNNNNNNNNNNNNNNNNNNNNNNNNNNNNNNNNNNNNNNNNNNNNNNNNNNNNNNNNNNNNNNNNNNNNNNNNNNNNNNNNNNNNNNNNNNNNNNNNNNNNNNNNNNNNNNNNNNNNNNNNNNNNNNNNNNNNNNNNNNNNNNNNNNNNNNNNNNNNNNNNNNNNNNNNNNNNNNNNNNNNNNNNNNNNNNNNNNNNNNNNNNNNNNNNNNNNNNNNNNNNNNNNNNNNNNNNNNNNNNNNNNNNNNNNNNNNNNNNNNNNNNNNNNNNNNNNNNNNNNNNNNNNNNNNNNNNNNNNNNNNNNNNNNNNNNNNNNNNNNNNNNNNNNNNNNNNNNNNNNNNNNNNNNNNNNNNNNNNNNUGUCUAUUUAGUUUAAAUCGAGAUUUAGCUUGGCAAUUAACUAUUUAAUAUCAUUAAUGGCGUUGUAAAUGUAAUAUGCAGAUCUUACACUAACAGAGGCUGAGAUGAAGAAUUACACUCUUCAGGAAAUAGAAAAAAUUAUGUUGUUUAAUGGUGGAACUCUCCAGGGCAUUGAUAAUUUCCCACAGCCAUCAAGAGAAGGUAUUGACAAUUCCAAUAGAUUAAUUGUUGACGAGAUGAGAUAUAAUAGGGACGAGUUGGAAGAGAAACAUACUGAAUGGGUUGCAAAGCUUACUACUGAGCAGAGAGGUAUAUACGAGGAAAUCACAAGUGCUGUUUUCAAGGAUUUAGGUGGUGUUUUCUUUGUUUAUGGAUUUGGAGGAACAAGGAAAACAUUUUUAUGGAAAACUCUUGCAGCUGCUAUUAGAUCUAGAGGACAGAUAGUUUUAAAUGUCGCGUCCAGUGGUAUAGCAUCAUUGUUGUUAGAAGGAGGAAGGACCGCACACUCUCGGUUUUCAAUUCCAUUGAAUCCUGACGAAUUUGCUCUAUGCAAAAUCAAACCUAAGUCAGAUUUAGCAAAUCUGAUAAGAGAAGCCUCUCUGAUUGUCUGGGACGAAGCCCCAAUGAUGAGCAAGUUUUGUUUCGAAGCUUUAGAUAAGAGCUUCUCAGACAUUAUCAGAAACACAAACAACAAGGUGUUUGGUGGUAAGGUUGUGGUGUUUGGUGGUGAUUUCAGGCAGGUUCUACCAGUUAUAAUUGGCGCAGGAAGGGCAGAGAUUUUCAUGUCAGCACUAAAUGCCUCUUACCUUUGGGAUCAUUGUAAAGUGCUAAGAUUAACGAAAAAUAUGCGCCUCCUAUCUGGCAACUUAAGUGAAGAUGAAGCUACACAUAUCCAACAGUUUUCAGAUUGGUUAUUAGCAGUUGGUGAUGGUAGGAUUAAUGAGCCAAAUGAUGGUGAGGCACUUAUCGAUAUCCCAGAAGAUUUGUUGAUAACAAAUGCAGAUAAUCCUAUUGAAGCUAUUACUAGAGAAGUUUAUGGAGAUCCUACUAAGCUGCACGAAAUAAACGAAUCAAAGUUUUUCCAACAAAGAGCUAUUUUAGCACCAAAGAAUGAGGAUGUGAACACAAUUAACCACUACAUGCUGGAGCAUUUGAACAGUAAGUCUACUAUUACAAUUUGCUUACAGUUUUACUUACGUAUAUUACAAGAGUUCGAUUUGACCCUACUUUACUAAAAAACUUUAUAUUUUUUUGGUUGAAGGUGAAGAAAGGGUAUAUCUAAGUGCAGAUAGCAUAGAUCCAACAGAUUCAGACGCAUUAAAGAAUCCCGUCAUCACUCCAGAUUUUUUAAAUUCUAUCAAGCUAUCCGGAAUGCCACACCAUGCCUUGCGUUUGAAAAUUGGAGCACCAGUUAUGUUGCUAAGGAACAUUGACCCUAAAGGUGGGCUAUGCAACGGGACAAGGCUACAAAUUACUCAGCUGGCUAAUCAUGUUGUGCAAGCUAGAGUGAUAACAGGCGACAGAAGUGGUGAGAUUGUUUUAAUCCCCAACAUCAACCUAACACCUUCUGAUACAAAGCUGCCAUUCAAAAUGCGUAGAAGACAGUUUCCCCUAUCGGUUGCAUUUGCUAUGACCAUCAACAAGAGUCAGGGACAAUCUCUAGAACGCGUAGGUCUCUACUUGCCUAAACCUGUUUUCUCUCAUGGCCAGCUUUAUGUUGCAUUGUCUAGGGUUACAUCGAAGAAAGGCUUAAAAAUAAUCAUUCUAGACAAAGAGGGAAAGAUUCAAAAGCAAACAACAAAUGUUGUUUUCAAAGAAGUCUUUGAAAACAUUAACUGACUAACAUCGAGUCAGACCGUUUGGGAGCAACAAGGUUUAACGUUAUAUUUCUUAUACUUUGUAUUUUAAGUUAAUUAUAUCUUGCAUAGCUAAAUACAGAUACAUUUUUACACACGGAUUGAAACCAGCUCUUUCAAAUUCUUUUCCAGGUUCAGGUUAAAUAUCAACAGAGGACACAUUUGAAGCUAACCGAUGAACAAGAAAGUUCAAUUCUGAUUCAACAGUUUCAUUACUUCCACUUCAUAUUCUCAAUAAAUUAGAAUUAGUAUAGUGUCAUUUUAGUAUUACAUGAACACUUAAACCGAUUUUCAUUUUGGUUAAACAACUCAACUGAGAUUCAUCUUUCCUUCCUACUAUUAUCAAGUAUUGACGAAAACAACCAAAUAAACACAAACACCAAACAAACUAAUCAAACGAAACUAAGCUAUGAGUUUUAAAAAAUCUAACCUCAGCUGGACAAUGUCUGACGUUCCAUGUAUAGGUGCCAUUAAACUAUACAGGUUCCAUAUAGAGAUGUCAGCAAUAUGUUUCUCUGCAGCUACAAUGCAAGAUUAAUCCAAGACUCUCAGAACUUUCACAUUUCCACAUAUAAACUAAAGAGAAAACAAAAGUUUACAACCAGAUAUUUAUAUAUACUGAAUUACAUAAUAUUGUUGACCUUAUAAUUCUGCAUAUGAUCAGAUAUAUUCUACAAAUUCGACUCUCGCAAACACAAGUGAGUACCAAACUGUAAACUGAAAAGUAUUAAAUCAAAACAACAGAUUCAAUAAUCAGUUUCAAGUUUAUGAAGUGAUACACAACAGUGAGCCAAAUAUAUUAACAAUCUACAAUUACAUGAGGCCUCAAAUCAUACGUAUGUUAAUAUUUGUUUUCAUAACCCAUUUUUCCCAAACUAUUCAAUGAACUAACUUCAGUUACAUUGGUAAAAACUUUUCCGAAUAUCUAUAUUAACAUAAUUGGUAAAACAGAAACUAUUACGGAUCCAAAUAAAAGAAAAUACUUAUCUCUCAUAAAUUCCAAUGCAAUUAGUUCCACCUGCAAUUUCUGCAGAUAAAAAAAAUCAGUUUGUACGAUUAUAUCAUCGAUGCCUUUAAAACAAUAAUUUGAAAACAUAAUCAAGCUAUAUGAAUAACCCAAAUACGGAAGCAAUAUGAAUCGGCAAAGACAACAAAUUACAAUAAUUUGACAACAAUUUUCAGUUACAUUUCCAGAAAAAAAAGACAUAAAACUAAGUAUAUUAACCUUACUCAGAAACAAUAGAAACAGAUACGGAGCCUGCAAUUCAUGUUGAUUCCAUGUAAGGAUUCAAGAAAAUAAGCUAUAACUGAUUCGAAUUCUUAGAUGUGAUUUAGGAGAUAGAAGGCAACAACGAUUUUUUGUCUUUUCGUAAGUUUUUUCGCUUUUGG
rnacentral:lncRNA from 1 species